GGAAGAGGGGAUCUGGCUGUGAUAUUUGUCAUCCCACUGGUGCCCAGGGUUGAUCUGGCUGACCCAGCUNGCUAGACAGGCAUUCUCUUCNUCCUCAUUUUUUUCAUGUCUGUCCCUCCUGAAGCUGUGUGCACAGUGGUAGAGGAANCCUCCCCAAAUAGAGGAANGCUAGUCUUGGGGUAAAAGAUGUAAGAGUACAUGUGCUUUCUGGUUAGAACCCCCCAAACAAGCUCUCAAAGUCCAGGGUAGAGCGUGGGCCCUCUGAACAUAAGCAGAAUGGAAGGCUCCGCUAACAGUGCCGUCACGGAAAAGGCUCAUGGU
rnacentral:snRNA from 1 species